rnacentral:snoRNA from 1 species
AUCAAUGGGAUAACAUUCUGUAAAAAAAAAAAUUGAAAAAUUAAGUCACGGAAGAAAACAUGGCAUGUUUAAGAUCUUUGGGGAGCGAAGGAUGCAUAUUUUCUUUGCCUUACUUUGGCUGCCUACAGGC